AACGAACGCUGGCGGCAUGCCUAACACAUGCAAGUCGAACGAAGCCUUCGGGCUUAGUGGCGCACGGGUGCGUAACGCGUGGGAAUCUGCCCUUGGGUUCGGAAUAACAGUUAGAAAUGACUGCUAAUACCGGAUGAUGUCUUCGGACCAAAGAUUUAUCGCCCAAGGAUGAGCCCGCGUAGGAUUAGGUAGUUGGUGGGGUAAUGGCCCACCAAGCCGACGGUCCUUAGCUGGUCUGAGAGGAUGAUCAGCCACACUGGGACUGAGACACGGCCCAUACUCCUACGAGAGGCAGCAGUGGGGAAUAUUGGACAAUGGGCGAAAGCCUGAUCCAGCAAUGCCGCGUGACUAAUGAAGGCCUUAGGGUUGUAAAGCUCUUUUACCAGGGAUGAUAAUGACAGUACCUGGAAAAUAAGCUCCGGCUAACUCCGUGCCAGCCGCCGCUGUAA
rnacentral:rRNA from 1 species